UACGGAGGAUUCGAGCGUUAUCCGGAUUUAUUGGGUUUAAAGGGUGCGUAGGCGGUUUGAUAAGUUAGAGGUGAAAUACCGGGGCUUAACUCCGGAACUGCCUCUAAUACUGUCAGGCUAGGGAGUAGUUGCGGUAGGCGGAAUGUAUGGUGUAGCGGUGAAAUGCUUAGAGAUCAUACAGAACACCGAUUGCGAAGGCAGCUUACCAAGCUACUUCUGACGUUGAGGCACGAAAGCGUGGGGAGCAAACAGG
rnacentral:rRNA from 1 species